AGCAGCUGGUGACCCCAGGUUCCCAGGAAGAGGGAGAGCUACCCGGUGAGGUCAGCUCUUCACGUCAGCCUCCCGAUUUCCCUGCUGCGGCUGAAGCAGGACUGGGAAGAGACGGCUGAGCCAGGGCCAGGCCUGGAGGAGGUCUAAGCCCCAUCCUUCCCACAGGCCCGGAGAUCCCUGGCCAAACCACAGGCAGCUGAAAUGGAGGCCGGGCCAGGCCCUGGGGGUUCUCAGCCCCUAAGCUCCCCACUGUCUGGCGCUUGAGACCCCACCCGCCCCCAGCCCAGAUUCCAGACAGUCCUGGGGGCUGGUGUGGUGGAAACAGCCCUGGCUCUGCAGUCAGCGGCCCGGGGUUCAAAUCCCUCCUAUGACGCUUCCUCCAGCUUUGAGCCUGGGUGGGUCCCUGAGGCUCCUCCGGCCUCUGCUUCCUGAUGUAGAAAGCUUAGACCAGCUGGCUUUGGAGACCCUCUGGGACGCCUUUCCUGGAUCCCCCAGCAUUCUUUCCCCUCCCCUGGCCCCCUACGAGAAGCAGGUGAAGUAGCAUCAUGAAGGCGGAAGCCGUAGAGAUGAAGACUCCCCUCUCCAUCCCUUGGCUGGUGGCAUAGGGCACAUGGACCGCCAUGGCCCAAAGCCAGAGCUACAGUCACCGCUGUCUGGUCUAUGGAGAAGACCAAGGGAUUGGAAGUCACUUCUAAUCCAAGGAUAUCAAAAGAGCCUCCUUAACCAAGGUUGGUGCCUUCUUUGCAACUCAAAGCGUUAAAGAGUAGCCUAGAACACAGAGAGGUCGUGACUUGCCCAGAGUCACACAGCCAGGAUGCAUCAGAGUUUAUCCAGAAGCCACACAAAUAAACAAGAAGCUCAAAUGACCAAUGAUUUCGUUCUCAAGACUCAAUGAUGAGGAUGGAUGGAGAAGCACAGAUGGUUGCAGCUGGAAGGGCCGCCAGUGGGCACUGCUCAUCGGAGGAGCCCCCAUCGGAGGAGCGUCUGAAGACUAGAGACUGCUUAGAGACUGCCAGGGACAGGGCAUCCGUUCCCCCUCACCCCCAACACAGCCCAGACCAUUUUCAGUGGCUCUUAUCCUGAGAAAGUGUUCUGGGUCUCACCAAAGUCCACCACUCUGCAAUUUCUGCCCAUUUCUCCUAGUUCUGCCCGCUGGGGCUAACCAAACAUGUGAUCCUUCUGCUGGACAGCCCUUCAGGUACCUGUCCCUCCCAGUUCUUUUUUUCUUCAUCUUAUCAAUGUCCUUCCUGAAAUGAGGCUCUUUGAACUGAACACAACAUUUUGCAUGUGGUCUGACCAAUCACUAGUCAAUAAAUUAAUUAAGCACCUACUAUAUUCCAGUAUCUAUGCUAAGUGCUGGGGAUUCAGAAAGAGGUAGGAGAUAGCUUCUGCCCCUGAGGUACUCACAAGCUCCCAGAAGAGUUAACAAGCAAACAGAUGUGUGCAAAUAAAUAAGUAGGAUAAGUAAGAAAUAAUUAGCAGAGUGAAGGCACUGGAACUGAGGGGUUGAAGAACCCUUCCUCUAUGCCCAAAGGGCUACCAAAAUGUGUAUACCCUUUGACCCAGCAAUAGCACUUCUAGGGCUAUA